AACUCUUCCUCUCUCACCACUAGGCCCACCGUCGCCACCUGAUUCUGAGGUUCUUUCCAUCUCUUUAGUAGGUUGACAUGGAUUAACAUUCCCAACAUCCAUCACCUUGGCAAACAGGGGCUCCAAUGUGCUAUCUUGCUUCUGUAAUUCCACAAUAUUUUCAGCAAACACAUCAACACUGGCAAGUCCCUCCCCAAAAGAAGGUCCACAGGCAGAUUAUCUACCACCCCAACAGUCAGAAAAUAAGGCUGCUCAUCGAUUAACACAGUUAUUUCAGUCUGAGGUGGACAAACUGAAGCUUUGUGUCCAGGCUGCUGACAAUAAUAGCAAAUCAGUGUCUUACCGGUUGCUGGUUGUUCAGUCCCUGUGCUGGUG